CAAUACAAGUACUAUUCAAAAUUCAAAAACUUGAAUAAUUAUUAGAAUAGAAAAGAAUCUAAAACUUUUCGCAAAAAUAAAAUCUAAACUAAGAUCUUAAAAGGAAUUGCUGAGAAAGAGGCGCUGUCUUUGCUUCAAUUCCCAUUUUUUAGAUGAGUAAUCUAGAUGCUACUUUUUUUACAUUUCGAUCAAAUUAAUACUAUUCCCACUGUUAAAUUUAUGAUAUUUUUGUACCAAAGGUCACAGCCUUCAACUCCUCUCAGUUAAAAGCAUAAGCAGUGUAACAUUAGCUCCAUCUUGGAGGCUUGGAGCCACCUUUGCUUCUUGGAACCUACUAAAAGAGUGAUAACAAGCCAAAAUCAGAAUAAGCACACCAUAUUAUAGUACACAAGUAAAAUAAAAAAAAACUCCCCUCAAGAAACGUCGGCGGCGGCGUGCGCUAUCAAGGCUGCUCGAACGGGCGCGCGGCUCGUGUUCCAGGCGUGCACGACGGCCAUGAGACUGGACGGCGACGCCGACGCGGCCUGGAUCAUCAGCACAAGCCUCGAUGGACGACGGCUUCUGGACCACCCAGCUCGUCGCCGGCGGAUCCCGCCCGCUUCGGCGGACUCAACGAACGCCACGGCGCGCGGUCCGCAGCGCCUCCGUCCGUCCGUUGCCGCACUCUCCAGUCCCUGCUCAAGCACCUCACCGGUGCGCGCGGCUCGGUUUACCCAUACGAGCUCAAGCAACUUCGAGGUGGCCUCUUGCGCGCAGCUCAGGGAGGCCGCCGUACCCGCCUUCUGCCUUGUGCGUACACAAAUGUUUCGCUCGGCAAGGAAACUCUUCACCAAUACAUUGAUGAUCUGUGAUGGUGCACGCCAUGUUCCGGCUCGACGCCGUCGCGACCGUGCAGUUUGACGGUCACCUCCAGGCUCCAGAGCCCCCCGCGACAGCUCGUGCUCUGUGCCGCUGCUCGCGCGAGCAAUGUCAGGCGUAGCGUGCACAUGGCGACGAACGGCGCCACGAGUCCCAGGAGUCGGGUCGCGUCCGAUGUCGCCGGGAUCGUCGACGAGAACCACCUCCACCGCAGCUGCUACAACGUGCCCUUGCCGACAUGCGCAUGUCGGCGUGCAGCGUGCUGUCCAUUGGCGCCGUACCGGCAGAAGCAGCUCGUGUUCGAGGCGUGUUCGGCGGCACGAGGCAGCGCGCUGGACGGCGACGCGGACAUGGAUCCCUCGGCCGCACCCCCGUAAACUGCUUCUGCACCGCUCCGCUCAAGUGUUCCACGCCGCCGGCCCCAUGUCGUCCCCGAUGGCUCCCGCUUCGGCGGCCUCGGCGAAGUAUACGAACACCUCCGACGCCGAGCUCCCCGUGCUCCCUCACCGGCUCCGCUCGACGCCGUGGGCGGUCACGAGCUGCCAGUGCGGUGCCCGUGCCUCUUCUUCCUGGGCGCCGCUGCCGCCGGCGCUCAUCGGACGAAGCUCCAACGCAGCGCAUUCGUGCAGGGGACCACGGAGACUUGUCGCCGCAUGCAACUAUUCAGGUCGAUCAAUCUUGGUCGCACGGGGCUGAUCCAACGAACAGGAAAGGCCAAGGGGUGGACGUCCACCACGGACGGUUCACGGAAUCAGAUUUGCUCCUUGUCAACCGAUUGAGAUUCUAGUUUUCUGUCAAUCGAUGUGCAGGCCCGUCGGAUCAGCGAUGGACGUGUGCAAUUGAUUCACGUGUAAUCCAUUUAAUCGGGCCCGCCUGUGUGAGCUGUUGUGCCCGUUUUGGUGUUAUCGGGUCCAUGAGUGUUAUUGGGUUUUGCCUGUGCAGUGGCUGUUGGCUGGCUUGCUGUCUUCUCCUCUCCUUCAUUUCUCGAUUCCACCGGAUGGGUUAGGCUUCCCAUGCGGCGAGCUGCCGUCAGUGCCGCCGCUUUCCUCUCCGGUGCCGGCAACCUGCUCUGUGCUCGCUGCUUCUGGCCAGAUCUGGGUCCAACGAUGCUAUUACUCUAGCUUGGAAUGGGCCGCUCGAAUUUGUGUCCUAUUUUCCAUUUUUUUGACUAAGACAUGUGACAAUACAUAUUGAACAUCAAUCUGUUCAAUCCCCUCACGAGCACCUCCAAUUGAAGCCUUUCCUAAAUUUUCUGUUUUUCUUAGGGUUUCCUGAAAUUUAUGAAAUUUGGGGGAUGGGGGAGGAAUCUUAAUCCCCUUUUUGUUGGAUCUUGUUGGAUAGUAUCUCCAUGUCCUGCUGAGGCUAUUGUUUUAAUUUCGUCUCAUUUGGAUUUGAUUCGAGUUGUCUUUGGAGUUUUGUAGUAGAGCACAGGUAACAGUUUUAGCUCUGUUUCUGUCGUUUCAACAGUUGCAGUUGCAGCAUGUCAGCUCGUUGGCAGUAGCGAGCAUCGAUUUUGUCUAUCAAUAGAAGCCUUUCAUUUUUUUUUCAGAUUGGCAGCAGCAGUGCAGGUUCUUGUUCAUUUGCUUGGCUUUUGGUCACUUAAUUUUUCACUAGGCAGCGACAACAAACAAUAGCUCCAUAGUAGCAGAACGUAAGCGGUGGCAGUAGCUUUUUUUAGUUCAGCUGCUCGGCUGGUUUGUUUCUCUGAAUUUCUAUCAGUUCGGUUCAGGACAGAUAAGAAGCUAAGCGCCCUUGCUAACUGACUUAACUUGAUACUAGAUGGAACUAAUUGAAAGAGAGCACUCAACGUGGAUUCAUUCUUUAUGAAGUGUCUUUUUCGAGCUAUAGUUUGCAAUGUGAUAAAAACUUUUUUAAGCAUUCAUUGUCUUAUCUUUUUAAGCUUCUUUAUUUCCUGUUUAAUCUGGAUUAUUACUUGGCACUAGACACGCUACUCUACCUGUCCUUGUCUCCAUUGGUAGUAAGAGCAUAGUAGUAGUGGUUCAUCCCUUAUAGUGUUUUUAUCAGUAGAAUACAUGACCGCUAGUUCUUGUUUUCACAGAAGUAAUCUUGGCCUGCAUGCUGGUGGCUAAAUCUUUGUGUCAUCAGUUUUUCACCAGCACUUUUGUAAUCAAAGUCAAGUCCAACAGCUGCCAGACAACUUUGUUUUAUUCAAAGCUACAGUGCAGCAAUGUGUGCUGAUUAAUGUUAGCCUGCAUCAAUACAUUUUUGCUUACAAUGUAGUCUCAGUUUUUGUUCGUUAGUAAUUUGUGAGGGGUUCUCCUUUGCUUUUGCUUCCGUGAUGCUUUGAGAUAUUCCUAAUUGUUCCUAGGGUCAUUCUACUAGAGAGUCUUUGUUGAUUUGUGUAGAUUGGUUUAUGCACUUAAGAAAUGAUGUAUCAGAUGACGAUGAUUCCUAAAUUUCAGCAGUUUCUGUAGACUACUCACCAUGGGCAGAGUGGAUCGAAUUUUGAGUGGGGACUGAUGCAGGUUUGUGUUGUGCCUGUCCAAUGCCCCAUCAAUUUUUUAAAGCCAUGAAGGGGAUCUGAAUCUUUUUGUGUUUUCCCUAACGUUUGAUUUGUUGUUGCUGCUGACUUGUUGUCGAGUGUGGGUUGGUGGGGGUGAGUGCUUAGUCUCUUUUCCUGUAGUCUCAAUGUAUAUUUUUUUGGCCAUAUGGUUUACUGUUUUUCCUGUACAUUUCUUGUAGAAUUGGCCUUUUGUAAAAAGAAUCUUUUUCAUACAUUUUUUCUUCUUUUUCUCAUGUCAUGGAUCCUGAAUUUGUGGUGCAUUUAGUUCUGUAUUUGCACAUGUAUUUUUGUUCUUUCAACGAUGCUCGUAGAUCCUAUGGAAUAUGUCUUAGUAUUUGGGCACUGUCAGGUGGUGCCCGUCUCUGUGUUCUGAAUGUGGUUGUGCAUUCUUUUCUAACCUCUUUCUAAGCAUUGUCAUUAUGUUCCCUUAUUUUCACCAGAAAUGCAUCUCUAUGCGGUUUGUUGCAAUGUUUGUGUGUAUCCGUUGAGGCUGUACUUUACUGAGAAUUAUAGUCGAAUUAUUCAAAAUUUCUCCAUUAUGCAACUGUAUAAUUUUAGAAAUUGGAUCUUGUAACUUCAUUUUGUCUUGUCUUUCAGUUUUCUUUGUGGGGUAUGAUUGUGUUGUGUCAUCACUGAAGAUAUAACUGGCAGGAGAAGCCUUUCAGGGAGGCAUUUGUGGCCCGUCAGGUCCCCACAUUCACAAAUCAGCCUACUCCAUAAAUGGGUCCUAGAGGAGAUUGACAAAAGGCGCCGCGGUUUCCUGUGGACCGGCAAAGAAAAUGCCUUAGGUGCUCACUGUACAGUUGCCUGGCCACGGUUUGCAGGCCUACUGACUAUGGCGGCUUGGGUCUAUUGGACCUCAGGCUGGCGUCCUACGCCCUCCGUCUACGAUGGCUAUGGCUGAAGAAGACUGACGCGAACCGGCCUUGGAAGAACCUGCAAUUGGAGUUUGCCCGAGAUACUGUUCUUCAGCACAUGUUCCAGACUUCCAUUCAGAUACAGAUACAGCUUGGGGACGGCAAUCUAGCGCUCUUUUGGCAGGAUGCUUGGCUAGGACAAUCUUCACCCUCUAUUCUGGCACCAGAUCUCUGUAACUUGAUCGCGCCGCAGGUGAAAAGAACAAGGACGGUCGCACAGGCGUUGCACCAGAAGCAAUGGAUUCUAGACUUUGCCGGAUGCGCUACAGUGCUGCUCUUACACAAUAUGUUCUUCUCUGGCACAAACUAGCCAAUGUUCAUCUAAUCUAGGGAGUUGAAGACCGAGUCUUGUGGAGAUGGGAUGCCUUUGGAGUCUAUUUUGCUCGUUCAGCCUACCGCGCCUUCUUUUGUGGAGCCACAAAGUUCGCUGCCGCUAAGCUGAUUUGGAAAUCAUGGGCACCAAUGAAAGUGAAAUUUUUCAUCUGGUUGGCAGUUAAGGAGCGGUUGUGGACGGCUGAUAGAAGACAUCGACAUGGGUUACAGGGAAAUGUGGAGUGUACAUUCUGUGAACAGGAGCUAGAAACGACAGUGCACUUGCUAGCUGCUUGCCCUUACACAAAGGAGGUUUGGCACAUCGUCUCGACAGUGCUGCACAUACAGAACACCACCUCACUAUCUGAAACCUCCUUAACGGACUACUGGGUGCAUAAGCGGCGAGCCAUGAGCAGAUCACUAAGAAAAGGGAUGGACUCCUUGUUUAUGUUGAUCUCCUGGAUAAUUUGAAAACAGCGCAACGACAGAAACUUUGAUAGAGCCCCAAAAAGAAAUCCUCUACAACUAACUGAGCUAAUCCGAGAACAAGCUGCUGAUUGGUGUGCGGCAGGAGCCAAACACUUAGCAAUGUUCCAAUGGCCGCGACAACAGCAGGACGACGCUGAAGCAAUGGUACCUUAGUGGUUUCUUACCUUGACAUUUGUGUUUAAACGGAUGUAAAUAAGUUGCCAUGUAAGCUCAAGCUACAUUUCAAAACCGUGUGUGUGAGCCCGGUAGGCCCGCGUUAUAAUAAUUCUACUCAUUCUUCUUAAUACAA